GAUUAGCUGUUACACAAAGUGGGGUUUCUUUUGACAGCCAAGAGGCUAUGGCUGAAAUGGAAUGAGAGGCAGCUCGAUUCACAAAGAACAGAUAAUAAAAACAAUUCCUUGGAAUUGAUUCUAAGAUCUUUUGAAGUAUGAUCAAAUUUGUGUCCUUUAAAUUUGCGGCGGCAGUAAGCAUGGUUUCAGCAUCUACCCUGAAGAUGACACAGGAUAUAAUUAUAAAUUGCCUCUCCCUGCUAUUGAAGCCCCAGUAGCAAUACCAAGGGGCUUCUAAAUAACAGAUCAGCUUCCGAGCAAAGCCACAGACAGGCAUGGAAGGGCGACUACUGUUCUGUGACUCAUUCCGAGAUUCCAUCUGUCCGCCCUGCCUUUGGCAAUUUGUUAUUCCCAUUAAGGAGCGCAGUCUUCCUUUCCCAAUGGAGUUAACUGCAAGUCUGAGGUCAGAAGUGUGUUCUUAUAAUAAGUGGUCUAAAAACUGUAACAGGCAGAAUUCAACAGGCUGUAUUCAGCCCUUCCUCCCAAAGGAGACUUUGGCGGUAGUGUAUUGAUGCUUAUCAUUUAUGUUGAUUUCAAUGUUUAUUGUAUACGUGAUUUUGGUUUUAUUGCCUUUUAUUGUUGUGUUUUAACAGUCUUGUACUCAAGGGAUCUUGCAAUGAAUGGCGGGUUGGAAAAACCAUAAACACACAUAAAGCAUCAUGCUGCUGAGGUUCUCUUCACAUCUGGAAGAUUCAGCACUUCCCCAGGUUUGGAACGGUUUCCCUCCUUGUCUGUGUGGAUAAGCCAUUAAAGAGACAGAUGAUUCCUGCUGGGCAGAAGAAAACCCUGCGGUCACGAGAAACGGUUCUCUGGUUACGUCUAGGCAGGUGGAUAGACUGUCUAGCCAAAUGUAAACACAGCCCAUGUUUUCAUUUUCUGCUAACACCUGAGAAUGAGUACUCCCACACAACUGAAAACCCCUAGGAGGUCCAGAAGAGCCGGAAUCCAAGGCAGCUACUGCCAAAGAAAGUCAAAAGACAGGAUAACCGAGGGG